GAUGAACGCUAGCUACAGGCUUAACACAUGCAAGUCGAGGGGAAACGAUGAGAGAGCUUGCUCUCUUAGGCGUCGACCGGCGCACGGGUGAGUAACGCGUAUCCAACCUACCCAUUACAGGGGGAUAACCUUGCGAAAGUAAGACUAAUACCCCAUGGCAUUUUAUGGUGGCAUCAUUAUAGGAUUAAAGAUUUAUUGGUAAUGGAUGGGGAUGCGUCUGAUUAGCUUGUUGGCGGGGUAACGGCCCACCAAGGCAACGAUCAGUAGGGGUUCUGAGAGGAAGGUCCCCCACAUUGGAGAUGCGACACGGUCCAAACUGCUACGGGAGGCAGCAGUGAGGAAGACUGGUCAAUGGGCGAGAGCUUGAACCAGCCAAGUAGCGUGCAGGAUGACUGGCCUAGGGGUUGUAAACUGCUUUUAUAGGGGAAUAAAGUGAGAUACGCGUAGUUUAUUGCAUGUACCCUAUGAAUAAGGACCGGCUAAUUCCGUG
rnacentral:rRNA from 1 species